AGUGAACGCUGGCGGUAGGCCUAACACAUGCAAGUCGAACGGCAGCACAGUAAGAUCUUUCUCUUUCGGGUGGCGAGUGGCGGACGGGUGAGGCAUACAUCGGAAUCUAUUUUUUCGUGGGGGAUUACUUAGGGAAAUUUACGCUAAUACCUCAUACUACCUACGGGUUAAAGCAGGUUAUCUUCGGACCUUGCGCGAUUUAAUGAGUCGAUGUCGGAUUUGUUAGUUGGCGGGGUAAAGGCCCACCAAGGCGACGAUCCGUAGCUGGUCUGAGAGGAUGAUCAGCCACACGGGAACUGAGACACGGUCCAGACUCCUACGGGAGGAAGAAGUGGGGAAUAUUGGACAAGGGGCGAAAGCCUGAUCCAGACAUACCGCGUGGGUGAAGAAGGCCUUCGGGUUUUAAAGCCCUUUUGAAGGGAAAGAAAAGCAGCAGGGUAAAAACCCAAUGUUGUGACGGUACCCAAAGAAUAAGCAACGGCUAACUUCGUG
rnacentral:rRNA from 1 species